UCAAUCAUUCAACUUCAAUUUAUUUUGUCCACUCAAAUAAAUUUAUUCAACCGUCAAAAUAUUAACCGUUAUAUUUUUAUAUGAUUUUGUCAUUGCCAUCUCGAUCAUACUGUUAACUGUUCCAAGGAGGAUAAUAAACUGUUCCAAUACUCUGUUACAGAAUGUAGUAUCUGUUCCAUUUCCAAUUUCCAAAUUAUUAAUGGUAUGGAAGUUUUGAAUGAAUAUUAGCCUACAACUACAAGCACUACAGACCUUCACCUUCCAGUCUUAUGUUUAGUUAGGACCUUAUUAUGUGAUGAAAAUGUAAUUUUAUUUAGUAUUAUACUGUUGAGUGUUUUUCUAAUAAGUGAUAAUUGAGUUUCUUAUCUAAAAUAUUAAAAAGUGAAUAUAGAAUUAUCCUCUUGCAAUAAUUGCUGUAAUAGCCAGUCUAGAGCUGUUCUUGAAGAAUGGAGUGCAAGAAUAUUCCAGCUAAGUUCCAUCGUGAAAGAGUUGGCGUUGCAUCUAGAGCAGAUGCUACAUUCACCCAUAACAAGAUCGAAGUUGAACUGGUUUGUCGCCGCUUCAACGGAACUUGCUAUUAUACCACACAACCUAGAACAUCACCAUCUAGUGAUGUCAUCUCUUAAUCCAAUUUCCAUCACCAUCAUCAUAAACCAGGCUCCAUCAUAGAUUACUUCUGCUCAGACUUGGAUCACCAUGCUAUAAUAAGUCAAUUGAUAACAUAUCCGAUAUGUCAAUAAUCCUCAUUUUAUAGUAAACCCUUGAGAUUGAAGUGCUUACUUGAAAAGGUGACGGUCAUCCCGAAUUUAUGUUUCUUGAAUUAUCUUUGUCCGGUUGUGAAUCACCCAGAAUUGUGCAUGGGUUUUUGCCAGAUCAAUGUGAAUGAAGUUUACCAUAAAAAUAUUUCAAGGGACGGUUUCCGAGCUCGGGAUUUAGCUAAGUUCUAGACUUUAAACAGCUGGAGUCAGAAAACUGGCUUUCUGAAACGGGGCCUCGUCAUAGUCCACGUUUAAAUUAAACUUCGAAAAACUAGAAAGUUGAACACAAAAUAAAAUAACGAGUAAAUUGUGUAAAGUUUCAGCUAUUUUAAUUAUUUAUGAAUGCUUCAUUUAGUCAAAAAACGUUACCAACAUUUUAGAAAUGAGAAAAUAAAUAUCUUAAAAACCAUGACUACGCUCCAUUUCGGAAAGCCAAUUUUCUGACUCCAGCUGUUUAAAGUCUAGAACUAAGCUAAAUCUCGAGCUCGGAAGCCGGCCCUAUAAUUAUGUCUCCUAGUUGCUUUACUUUCAAGUUACUUAAACAUAAAUUUAUUCUAAUAAAUUUUUUUUUAUACAGUGAUGAAAAAUCGUUAGCGAUCCAUACUGAUAUUUCCAUCAGUCAAUAAAUGAAAUUAAUAAUCAUGUAAUAGGAAAAAAGACUUACCACUUUUGUAUUAACUUAUUGUUAACAAGAUAGCUGACAAACAAGGCUCUCUGGGCCGCUUUUGGUAAAGUGAGGAAGUUGUUUUUCAAAUUGAUAAUUACAUUCUACUGGAAGCGGCUGGAGAGGUGUCUACACGAAGAAACUAUUAUUCUACACAUAUCAUAUAGUUAAGUUAGUUGAGUUGAAAAUGUAUUUAUACAGAGUAAGUCAUAAUGUAUGGGAACCCUUCAAUAAGUUGGAGACUGUUGUAGUUAUAAUACUGUAACUUUCAGGAUAAGUUAUUGGACGAAUACUCUACCUUUUGACG